UAAUAAGAUCCUAUGAACAUUUAGUUAGAGAAGAAACCAAAAAAAGAUGUCCAAUAGAUGCUAGUUCUUCUCUGCCUGCCUACCCAUCAUGCCCCUCCUCAGCUGGUGUUGGGAGUCUUCAUUCCUGUCCCAACCACCCCAUGUAGGAUGUUAACAGUGUAUUUCAGGGAUUAAGUAAUGGACAGAGCCCUAAGUACAUGCUGAGUUCUGAGCCCUAAGUAAGCACGUGGAUUAAGGUGAACAGUUCGGCUGACAGUGGAAAAGCACCAGAGGCCAGUUAUCUGUUUGCUUAACACUCGACAUGCGAGUGUGAGGUAGACUGGGCCCACAACAGGUUAGGGGAACAGCUCCCCCGGACCCUCCCGCCCAAGCCAUUCAGAGCCUCUUCUUGGGCAACUUCUUCCCCUUGAAUGAGUCUCUUUCCAGGAAGCGCCCCAGCUUUUGCAGAUAGAGUUGCGUCCAUUCACCAGUUCCCCAGCUGUAACCCAGGCUGAGUUCCUUCCUGGGAAGCUCCUCCGGCCCCCAAUAUACACUUCUGUGAGAUGCCGCUGCCUGUCUGUCGUGGACAACAGGACCACGGCGAGAGAGAGACCCACGGCGUGGGCUCACAAACAAGCUAUUUGGGGUGACUUAUUUUUCAAAAAUU